rnacentral:lncRNA from 10 species
UCAAGCAAUCUUCCUGACUUGGCCUCCCAAAGUGCUAAGAUUACAGACAUGAGCCAGGACACCUGGCCUGUGAACAUUGUUGAAAUGACAAAAAAGAAUUUAAAAUCUUAGAUAAACUUGGUUGAUAUAGCAGCAGCAGCAGUUUGAGAAGACUGCCAGGCAAACUAAGCUUCAUAAGUGAAGGAGAAAUAAAAUCCUUUACAGACAAGCAAAUGCUGAGAGAUAUUGUCACCACAAGGCCUGCCUUAUAAGAUGCUCCUGAAGGAAGCACUAACCACGGAAAGGAACAACCAGUACCAGGUACUGCAAAAAUAUACCAAAAUGUAAAGACCAACGACAUUAUGAAGAAACUGCAUCAAUUAAUGUGCAAAAUAACCAACUAGCAUCAUGAUGACAGGAUUAAUUCACACAUAACAAAAUUAACUGCAAA